UGCCAAACGAAAAAAUACGUAAUCACCCGAGGAAAACCAGAGGAUCUGGUGAAAAACCUUGGUGAUUACGAGUCCGGAUUCCGAAAACCCCGGGGACAACCCUGUGUGAUCGAAUUAACUAUAGUAAGUAUAUACCUUACUUACCCAUACCUACCAAAAUCCAGAAAAGUAAAAAUCUUUAAAAAAACUCAAAACAAAAAUAAAAAUCUCACGAGAUGUUCAAAAAAAAUUGUAGACCACCCGAAAAUUUAGUCUACAGAUUGCGCAAGACAAAUAUAUCUCUUUUUAUGAACAAAUUGUUCCACUAAGGAUAUAUUUGUCUCAACCUUGAAACCUCAAAAUAUUUCAGAUAUGUUCAGGACAAGGUGCGUGGCAAAUGAAUCCAAUGACCCAACGUAUUUUACAAUAGUUUAUAAAAGCUGUCAAGGACACUUGGAUGCAUUUUGAAGAUGCGAUGUGUGCAUUUCUAUAUUUAGAUUUUUUGCGCAUUUUGCUUUUAUCGCGCGCAAGUAAAU